AUGCAACUUCAGCACCAUUGAUGAAAUCUUCAAGAAACUUUGUAUGUGGCCAAAGUUGAUCAGGUGAAACAUGCAUAGUGCAGCCCUCUUUACCAGAUUCCCAUUCAACCACGAAGCGAGCAAGCACCCCAGAACCGAAACUGAACCACAGACUCAUCAGUCCUACUGCCUCAAUUCUGAAUUGCUUUCUCAUCUGUUCGGAAAUUCUAUCAGUUGCAUCAGUAGUGCCUUUAAGUGCAGCCGGUGCUUUACUUUCAGAGUUUGCAUUAUUUUCUUCAAACUUCUCAUCAGCCCUAGCACCAAGCAACUUCCGCAUUCCAAGCGCAAAUGUUCGAGCAUUAGAUAGCCUUUGAA
rnacentral:misc_RNA from 1 species